GACGAACGCUGGCGGCGUGCUUAACACAUGCAAGUCGAACGGAAAGGCCCUGCUUUUGUGGGGUGCUCGAGUGGCGAACGGGUGAGUAACACGUGAGUAACCGGCCCUUGACUUUGGGAUAGAUUCAGGAAACUGGGGCUAAUACCGGAUAGGAGCUCCGGCUGCAUGGGCGGGGUUGGAAAGUUUCGGCGGUUGGGGAUGGAAUCGCGGCUUAUCAGCUUGUUGGUGGGGUAGUGGCUUACCAAGGCUUUGACGGGUAGCCGGCCUGAGAGGGUGACCGGCCACAUUGGGACUGAGAUACGGCCCAGACUCCUACGGGAGGCAGCAGUGGGGAAUAUUGCACAAUGGGCGGAAGCCUGAUGCAGCAACGCCGCGUGCGGGAUGACGGCCUUCGGGUUGUAAACCGCUUUCGCCUGUGACGAAGCGUGAGUGACGGUAAUGGGUAAAGAAGCACCGGCUAACUACGUGCCAGCCGCCGCAGUAA
rnacentral:rRNA from 1 species